GUGGGGAAUAUUGGACAAUGGGCGCAAGCCUGAUCCAGCCAUGCCGCGUGAGUGAUGAAGGCCUUAGGGUUGUAAAGCUCUUUCAGUAGGGAAGAUAAUGACGGUACCUACAGAAGAAGCCCCGGCUAACUUCGUGCCAGCAGCCGCGGUAAUACGAAGGGGGCUAGCGUUGUUCGGAUUUACUGGGCGUAAAGCGCACGUAGGCGGAUCGUUAAGUCGAGGGUGAAAUCCUGGAGCUCAACUCCAGAACUGCCUUCGAUACUGGCGAUCUUGAGUCCGGAAGAGGUGAGUGGAACUCCUAGUGUAGAGGUGGAAUUCGUAGAUAUUAGGAAGAACACCAGUGGCGAAGGCGGCUCACUGGUCCGGUACUGACGCUGAGGUGCGAAAGCGUGGGGAGCAAACAGGAUUAGAAACCCCGGUAGUCC
rnacentral:rRNA from 1 species